rnacentral:rRNA from 1 species
CUGAUGGAGCAACGCCGCGUGAACGAUGAAGGCUUUCGGGUCGUAAAGUUCUGUUGUAAGGGAAGAACAAGUGCCGCAGGCAAUGGCGGCACCUUGACGGUACCUUGCGAGAAAGCCACGGCUAACUACGUGCCAGCAGCCGCGGUAAUACGUAGGUGGCAAGCGUUGUCCGGAAUUAUUGGGCGUAAAGCGCGCGCAGGCGGCCUCUUAAGUCUGAUGUGAAAGCCCCCGGCUCAACCGGGGAGGGCCAUUGGAAACUGGGAGGCUUGAGUAUAGGAGAGAAGAGUGGAAUUCCACGUGUAGCGGUGAAAUGCGUAGAGAUGUGGAGGAACACCAGUGGCGAAGGCGACUCUUUGGCCUAUAACUGACGCUGAGGCGCGAAAGCGUGGGGAGCAAACAGGAUUAGAUACCCUGGUAGUCCACGCCGUAAACGAUGAGUGCUAGGUGUUGGAGGGUUUCCGCCCUUCAGUGCUGAAGCUAACGCAUUAAGCACUCCGCCUGG